rnacentral:rRNA from 1 species
CUGCAUGGAAGGGCCAUCGCUCAAAGGAUAAAAGGUACUCCGGGGAUAACAGGCUGAUCUCCCCCAAGAGCUCAUAUCGACGGGGAGGUUUGGCACCUCGAUGUCGGCUCGUCACAUCCUGGGGCUGAAGAAGGUCCCAAGGGUUGAGCUGUUCGCUCAUUAAAGUGGCACGCGAGCUGGGUUCAGAACGUCGCAAGACAGUUCGGUCCCUAUCUGUUAUGGGCGUUUGAGAAUUGAGAAGAUCUGUCUCUAGUACGAGAGGACCGGGAUGGACUGACCUCUAGUGUACCGGUUAUGUCGCCAGAUGUACCGCCGGGUAGCUACGUUGGGAAUGGAUAAGCGCUGAAAGCAUCUAAGCACGAAACCAACUUCAAGAUGAGUUCUCAUAGGGUCGUCGAAGACUACGACGUUGAUAGGUUACAGGUGUAAAGGUGGUAACAUCAAAGCCGAGUAAUACUAAUAACCCAUCAACUUUUUAAA